rnacentral:lncRNA from 1 species
AUCAGACCAUAUGUUUUCUUAUAAGCAAACUAUAUUGAUGGUUGAAAGAUUUUAUAUGCUUCUGAUGCGUGAUCCUUCUAAUGCUAGGUGAUUUGUUUCUUGGAAUUUGAAGGAGGAAGACAAUGAAGCGUGGUGUUUAUCUAUCAAUAUGCCUUGUGUUCUGGUUGUACUUCAUAGCUAGUUACAUUGUAUUCUGUACUGGUCUGGUUGUAUGAACACUAUGUAAAGAUUGUAAUAGGCUAAUUUUGGCUAUCAUUUCAAGUAUAUAGUUCCGUUUCAUUUGAAAUAUUUGUCAUUUGUGUACUGUGAAAAUGUGAGAAAUAGAAAGUUGAUGAGUUGGACUUACUUAUUGGUAGAGGCCAAGGCCCAAAACGUGAAUAGCAUGCAAAAAGGCUGAGGCCCAAAAAAGAAGUCAACUUUUAAAAGGCUGAGGCCCAAAAAGAAAUGGACCGUAAAGUUCUGUGUCUUAGAAACCAAAAAGGCCGAAUUGCUGGGCUUGGCCCAUGUAGCUAGCGUAAAUUGACAGGAAAAAACAUAUGUUAAAGGCUGAAUUAAUGGGCUAGGCCCAUGUAAAACACUCAAUCGGACCGGGCUGAUUGUUGUUAGUGACCUUUUCAAUUCGUCGUAGUUUUGCCACGUCAGAUUGCCACGUCGGAUCCGACGUGGCCUGGGCAGACAGCCAGUGACCAAAACAAAAGGUCAUGGGUUCUACGACCUUCUGUUUUGGUCGUAAAUGUCUACGAGAAGGUCGUUAAUUUCAGUUUACGACUGCUAGCUUUUGACCUUCUGUUUUUGGUCACAAAAAGGUCGCAAAUAAAAAACAAUGACCUUUCAGUGACCAAUAGUCAAGGUCACAAGUUGACAUAUUUCUUGUAGUGAUAGAAAAGGACAUCUUGUUGGUUUGGAGUUUGAGCCAUACCAAAGAGAUUGCCAAGUGAAGGUGGUAUGUUCCGUGAUAAAUUGUUGCUUGCAAUGUCUAAAUACUGAAGAUGCUUCAACAUUGUGAGUUCAGCAGGGAUCCUACCAGAGAACAUGUUCGAGUGCAAUCGCAAAAACUGCAAGUAUGGUAACUUUGAAUCAAUCCAUGUCGGUAAGCCCCCAGAAAAUUUAUUGUUUGCGAUAUCAAGGAAUUUUAGCCCUUUGCACAUCUGAAAAGACGAUGGGAAUCCCCCUGAAAGAUUGUUACUGUUCAAGUUAAGCACGGUGAUACUUGAAGUUUUCGGGACACGAGGACAACUCAAACAGGGAGCAUGGAAUGGUCCCAGAAAAAUAAUUUUUGAACAACACUAGUAUUUCUAGCUUCGGUGCUCCAAUAUUUGACGGAAGUGAACCUGAUAGAUUGUUCCUAGAGAGGUCUAAGUAGAUUAGGUUCUUUGAGAGUUCUGGAAUUGGGCCAACAAGUUGGUUAGAACUGAUAUCCAACAUAAGUUCUAAUCCACCAAACUGAAAAUUUGUGGGAAGCCUCCCGACAAUCUGAUUUCCCGACAAAUCCAAGGCCCGAGCAUGGCGUGUCGCAGUCCAAAACUCAACAGGUAUAGAAUCAUGUAUACCUGUGUUUGAAAGAUCAGGCACUACAGGAAUCAAGGAAUUUGCCAUCAGCUUAUUCUUUGUCGUCUGCUAGCAGACGACAAAGAGGGUCUUUGCCGUCUGCUUUCAAAAAGCAGACGGCAAAAAACUAACUGAUGGCAAAUAUAUUGUUUGCCAUCUGCCAUUUCUUUGCCGUCGGCCAGCGGACGGCAAAGCUACAGAAGGCAGACGGGAAAGAGCCCAACUGGGCCCCACUGGACCCUGCGGCUGGUUAAUCCAGACGGGCUGGCUGAAGCGGACGGCAAAGGUUCCAAUGGCAGACGGCAAAGAAACACUCACGACAAAGAGAAAGCACAGCUCGCGGAUCAAUCACCUGGAUCGAUGAGUUGGCAAGAUCUCAGACACACGUUCUGUCGGACGCAUACCCCACACACCCACGAUGCACGCGCCCCCACGGCAACACCCGCGCACCCCACGCCCCCACUGCCUGCCUUAUCCAUCGGUCUCACCCACCCACCACUUCUCUCUCAUCUCUCUUCCUGCUCCCGAUCUCACCCACCUCACCACGUCUCUCUCUCAUCUCCCUCCCUGCUCCCGAUCUCACCUACCCGCCACCACCCGCCACCGCCCCGGCCCCGUCCUCGCCGGCCACCACAUCGCCUGCCGGCCGCGGCCACUUCCGCCUUCACCCCCAGCUCCGUCGCNNNNNNNNNNNNNNNNNNNNNNNNNNNNNNNNNNNNNNNNNNNNNNNNNNNNNNNNNNNNNNNNNNNNNNNNNNNNNNNNNNNNNNNNNNNNNNNNNNNNNNNNNNNNNNNNNNNNNNNNNNNNNNNNNNNNNNNNNNNNNNNNNNNNNNNNNNNNNNNNNNNNNNNNNNNNNNNNNNNNNNNNNNNNNNNNNNNNNNNNNNNNNNNNNNNNNNNNNNNNNNNNNNNNNNNNNNNNNNNNNNNNNNNNNNNNNNNNNNNNNNNNNNNNNNNNNNNNNNNNNNNNNNNNNNNNNNNNNNNNNNNNNNNNNNNNNNNNNNNNNNNNNNNNNNNCUGGCCGCCAUCUCGCCGGUCGGCCCCGGCCUCGCUGGCCGCCAUCUCGCCCGCCGGCCCCGGCCCGGCCCCCUCGCUCGUCCCCUCGGCGGCCUCCGUGCCCCGUCGCCCGUCGCCCCCAGCGGAAGCCGUGCCCCGUCGCCCCCGAUGGCAGCAGCAGCACCGACGGCUGAGCUCCCGGAAGAGCAAGGACCGCCAUCGAUCUGGACGUCGAGGCCGGGGCGGUUGCGAGGAUGAGGAGCGAGCUCACGUUCGCCAGGCACUUGUUCAUCCGGGUCCACGCUGUUCAUGUAAAUGGAGUAAUUUUGUGUAGAUGGAGCAGAUGCAAAUCUAUUAUGUGUAAAUAGACUAAUUUGGUAUUGUGAAAUUUGUUCAUUUGUCGUCGAUUGUUGGAACAAAGCUUAUAUGGAUACUGUGGUGUACUUGGGCUGCUGGUUCACUAUAUUUUAAUAAACAAAAUCCUUUGAUGUCUCUGAUUUUAAUAAACGUGUAGAUGGACAUUUUUUGCCAUCUGUUAUUAAUCGGCAGACGGCAAAACAUUAGUUUGGCAGACGGCAAAACAUUAGUUUGGUAGACGGCAAAGCCUCUGUUACCUCCGUUAGCACCUAACGUGGCUAACACCUACUAUUUGCCGUACACCUUCUUUGCCGUCCGCCACUUACGACAAAGGCCUCUUUGCCGUCCGCUACAAAAAGCAGACGACAAAUAAGGUGUUUGCCGACGCUGUCUUUGCCGGAGCUGUUUGCCGUCCGCGGCUGACGGCAAAGCUCUUUGCCGUCCGCCGUCCGUGUCUUUGCCGUCCGCCAUGGCUGAUGGCAAAGAAGCUGAUUCCUGUAGUGAAGAGUGUUGAUUCUUGACCUGACAACCCAUAUUGGAAAUUGGGGCACUAGGAUGCAAGAUCUAAAGCCUCGUGAAGUUAAUUUGAAUGGAGCGUUCCAUGUGUUGUUGACCAGUAUAGUUAAGGAAUUAUCAGAGAUCCACAAGACCUGUAGGCUACUCAGAUUUGUGAAAUGGUGUUCGGUAAGUGUACCAAGCAGGUUGUUUGAGUUCACCAGUAACUCCUUCAGUUUUGUAAGUUUCCGUAUACCAACUUGUAUCUCUCCGGAUAGAUCGUUAUUAUUGAGCCAAAGUGUGGUCAAGCUACUAAAAUCCUCUAGUCGAUUUGGAAGGCCCCCAGUCAGAUUGUUGUAAUCCAAGUACAACUCCUGUAACCCAUAUGCUGGCAGUCUAUGAAAUAGAUCUUCUGUGCUUCCGCUAAUGGAGGUUUUUGAUAGCAUGAGCACUUUUAGUCUUUUGAGUUUCUUGAAUGUUGAUGGCACCAUGCCCAUGAAGUUGUUUCCCAUCAGAAUCAUGUGUUGAAUGGAGGUCAUGUUUCCAACUGCAGCAGGUAUAGGACCUUGGAUUCUGCAGUCAUACAUACUUAAAUGUCGAAGCAUCGGUAGAUCCCAAACCAAGUGGUGGGCUCCCAAGGAUGAGUUAAAGGGGUUGGACUCGAGACAGAAGACCUCUAGUGAUGUAAGGUUGGAGUGCAACGGUGGAGGCAUAAUGUUCCGAAGCCCACAAAAUGCUAGGUCAAGGAUUACCAGAGAGGGAAGCAUGUUGACAGUAUGGGUCCAGUCGAUGGAAGCACUAAGGUUCACCGCGGACAUGAUGAGGUACUGUAGCUUCCGCAAUCGCGACAUCCAUGAAAGAUCAGGUGAGUAACAACCCGGUAGUUGACUCGAGAGGUCCAGACUGACUAGAUUUGAAAGGUUCCCAAGGUGGGGAGGGAUUCGCCCACCGAAGAACGAAUCACUGAGGUCGAGAUGAGUCAGGCUCCGGAGGCCACCGAUGAAUUCAGGAAUGGAUCUCCCACCGAAGUAGUUGGAUGAGAGGUCUAGGUGCUUCAGAUGUCGGAGAUUGAGCAAAGAGGGGUUUAUCUCACCUCCUAUGUUUCCCUCCACAAGCGUACCAUGGUUGUAGCUGUUGACCUGGAGCUUGAUGACGUGGCCGGUCUGGUUGCUGCACCCGACGCCCAUCCACCCGCAGCAGUCCUCCUCGGCCCGCCACGACGAAAGGUAGUUGGUCGGAUCGGUGAGGCCGGCCUUGAAGGCGAGAAGCGCAUCUCGCUCGCGGGGGAUGCAGAGGGCGCCUCCCGCUCCCGGCGCUGAUGGUGGUGGCGGUGGCCGGAGUGCAGGCACGGCUGGGGCUGACGAGCUACGGAGGAAGACGAGGCACCACGUCGCCAGGAGGAUCGCCGUAGCUUGGAUCGGCGGCCUUGCCCUGGCCAUUUUGGGGAGUGGACCAGUGGGUAAGUACGUAUUGUGUAGUAGCCUCGGCCAUGCACGCCUUGAUUUAAGGAGCCAGCAGAGUACGUUCGUUCCACCCGUGUGGCCGUGUCAGUGUCAAACUACCCUGCGCGCUACGCCCGCUGGAUCGGCACGCUGUAGUAACAGCGAAAUGUCCCAUCCACCGGGUCAGCCUGACUCAGACGGGAACGGUAAAGAGUCCAUAUUAGUUGACUGACAAACAAGCGGACCAAGAGCCCACAGCUUGGUUUACAUUUAAUUGCUAGCUAGCAACUUAUAUGCACGAUUCCACGUAUCGCUUUGCACAGGUUUUCUACAGUAUUUUUGAAGUACUGCUUCUUAUUUUUUUCGAGUGAAGUUUCUGUUUAAUUUUCAUGAUAUAUAAAUUUUCCCAUAUGAAAAAAAUAAAAUAAUUAUCAAUAUGCAAUUAUUUUUUAGUUUUUAUCUUUAUUCUAUUUUCAUUAUUGUGUACCUUGAAGAGAUAAACAUGAGAUUUUUCUAAAAUUUAUGUGGAUAUAAAAAGUUAACAUAUAUUAAAAAUUAUUGUGUAAAUUUAUGCAUCUUCAUUGAGGACCAUAAGUACGAGAAAUUAUUGUGUAUCUUCAUUCUAUUUUUUAAAUGCACAAUUAUUUAAAAUUGACAAUAUUGUAUUUUAAAAACUGUUCAAUGUGUAUUAAAUAUUAUUGUUUGACAAUAAUAAAUUCAAGAAAUGUACUAAUAUGUUAAGCAUGUUUGUAGAAAUUUAAGAAUAAUAAUACACAAUAUUUUUUAAUAUGCAUUCAACAUUUUCAAAAAACACGGUGAGCAUUUUCUAAAAUAAUAUGAAAAUGAAAAAUGAGCAUGAACGUGAACGUGUAUUUCAAAAAAUGUUCACCGUGUUUUUAAUAUACGUUCAACUUUUUAAUUCCACAUCAAUUUUAGAAAAAGUUCAUGUUUAUCUCUUCAAAGUACAAAAUAAUGGCUAUAGAAUAGAGAUAAAUAAACAAUAAUGUCAUAUUGAUAAUUAUUUUAUUUUUUCCAUAUGAAAAAUUUAUGUAUCAUGAAAACUAAACAGAAACUUCACUCGAAGAAAAACAAGAUAAUACUUGGAAAUAAGUAAAAAGAAAAUUACUCCAAUGAAAGCAUAAGCAGAGCGAUACGUGCAAUCAUCUAUAUAAACUGCAUGCUGAUAAUUAAGCGCAAACCAGACCGUGGCCGCCUUGUCCGCUCGAUUGUGAGGCGAUGAGGAUGUUUCAUGUUCCAAUUCCCUGCACGCUCGCUUUCUGGUAUUUUUUGCGGGCACUCAAUACAGCGGCAUACGUUCAGAGGCACCGUAUUUGAACGCCCAGACAAGUUACGACACCGUUUUUGUGUAUUUUUCAAGUUUAGGCACCGAACUAAUCGCGCCUAACAAGUUAGGACACCUGUAAUGUAUUUAACUCUAAAAGAUUUCACAGACCAACUGUUGGGUGGUGGCGAAGCGCGCCAAAUCUUGAUUGAACUCCCGAGGGACAAACAAUCACACACGGCUACAUCUCACGCCGUGAAUUCGGGGAAUGACCACGUCCAUGCCCAUGCCAAACUAUGUUGAGUUCAGCUGUGGCAUUAUAUGCUUUUUUUUGCGAGAAAACUUCUGAUCUAUUCAUCUUUAAUCAUGGCAGUACAACGAACAUCAGAAAUAAUAAAAAUUACAUCCAGAUUCGUAGACCACCUAGCGACGACUACAAGCAAUGAAGCAAGCCGAAGGCGCGUUGCCGUCAUCGCUCCUCCCUUGCCGGAGCCGGGGCAAAAUUUGUUGUAGUAGACAGUCGGGAACUUGUCAUGCUAAGGCCUCAUAGGACUAGCGCACCAUAAUAGCAACCGUCGCCGAUGAAGAGUAGCGUAUGUCCAUAGAAGGAUCCAACCUGAAAACACACCUCAAGUGUAUGUCCAUAGAAAUACAGUAGCAGCAAUUAUCAUACAAAUUAUACCUGAACACAAAUUUCAAUGAGAUCAGCCCUAACAAUCGCCUUGGUGUCAGUCUGGAGAAGCUCAUCAUCCUUCCUGACAAUCAGCUCCCUCAGACCCCAUCUAUGUCUUGCAGGCCACCAGGUCUGGGAAAGUAUCGGGUGCUCCCAACCAUGGGGUACUCCCGGUGCUUCAAUGUAAAAAAAUAUAUUUUUAAGUGUUUCAAAAAAUUCCAAAAAAAAUUGUGAAUGGUUAGAAGGAAUGUCAUUACAACCCCUAAAAAUUUUAGGUCCAAAUUCGAAACGCACAUUGAGAAACAAAAAUGUGAAAUAUAGCAUAAAUAGUGUAAAGGAAAAGACAAAAGCAACAUUGACACUAUUCAAGUCUGGAUUUGUCUUUUUUAUUUCUCAAUGUGCAUUUCAAGUUUGGACCUGAAAUUUUUAGGAGUUGUAGUGGCAUUCCUUAUGAAUACUCAUACUUUUUUCUGGAAUUUUUGAAAACAUUUAAAAAUAUUUUUUUGACAUUGAAGCAUCGGGAGUACUCCAAGGUUGGGAACACCCGAUACUUUCCCCACCAUGCCUAAACUGAAGCGAAAGAAGAAGAUAUUAGCAUACUGUGUACAGGUAAGGUUAACAUGCAUGAUGCAUGCUCUUGUGCGUGUUACCAUAAUGCAUUUUUUCAAGUUCCACAGAAACUAGAUACCUAAUUUAUCUGCAGUUGUCUAAACAGUGCAAAAAGAUGUGCAAAAUAAACUAUAGAUGCCAUAAUGUGUAGUACACCCGAGAGUAGCGACUACUUUCUGCUUUGUAUACCACAAUCUUACAUGUUAUCAUUUUUUUUCUUCGAAAAGAAGGAUUGCCCCCGGUCUCUGCAUCGGCAUGAUGCACACAGUCAUCUUUAAUAAUUAUUUACCAGAGUCUGACAACAUGAUCACAGGGAUCAACUCGAAGCCACCUACUAGGCGAACAAAGUCGCUACACCUACAAGUAUACAUAUGUGCUCUGUCCACAAAAUGUUACAUGUGAUCCUGAACGGUACAGAACUUGUCACUGAGAUAGUGGGGAUUUUUGCAGAUCUUUCAGGUAUAUAGGGAAUUACUCUGAACUUCCAUGGUUGAUCUUCAGUUUUAUUCAGACUGAUGCAUAAUUAGUGCAAUCAAACUACUGCACUUCAAAAAGGGGAGCAGUUCUUUCUGAAUAGUAGGUAUAAGGAAUGGACCUCUUAUCCCAACAGAUGCUUUAUAAACCAACCAGCAGGGAGAAUCUUUCUAUUUCCCGGAAAAUUAGGAAAAUGUUUUCCUUUAGAAACUGUGAGAUGUUUUUGUAAUAUACAUGUCCUUCCAUGUACCUUACUAUUGUACUCUCAACGAGACAUCAAUUCAGCUUAAAGGUAGAUAGAACCUGUAGCCUGUGGAUGAACUUCUUAUUAGAAAAGGUACAGAAAAAAAGAACUACCAAGCCGAGUUUUUUCUUGAUCAUUUACCAACCCUUUCCUGUUUCUUAGUUUCGUCUAAUGAUUAAUUAAGAGGGUUGACCAGGUCAUUGAUAAGUAUAAUAUCCAAAUACCAAAUACGCUCAGUGUGUGGUCCACAGAAAGAAAAAGGAGUUGUUUUUGUGAACAUCAAAACCGCUACGCUAGCAGCGUGUCGCUUCAUGCCUGUACUGUAAAAGAACUCUGUGCAAAUACUUUGGAAACCUUUACAAAUACAUAAAUCUGAAUGUGGCCGACCCAGCGGGGACAAUGCAGAGGACAGCGGGAAGAUGUUUGGAGCGGCAACGCCACCUCCAAACAGAUAAGUUAUCGCACGGGGCUAGCAAUUCGUCGCGCUCAAACGUGUGGUGGCAGCGGAGAAUUUGGGGGAGAAUUGGUGAAGAGGUUGGAGAGAGGAUGGUAAGUUAUAGUAUAUGGAAAUAAUCACUGAUGGGUUGAGUUCCCAAGAAACAAUCAGCGCGACGUCCUAAAUAUUCCCAAGAAAUUUUCCAACAAGUACAAAGUAAACACAUAUUAUUGUCUCUUAUUUAUUCAAAGCUCUUCUUUCAUCAUGAGAAAACACACAUCCAGUACAUUCUUCAAGCUAAUGAGGAAAUGCGGAGGAGGUGGUUGCGUGUGGAGGUGGGCAGUGGGCUUUGCAAAUUUCCAUUGUCGGGUAGCAAAUAUCAUAGGGGCGGCAGCUAUAGCACGUUGCAGAACCAUAGCACCCGUGUUGGUAGUCAGGUUGCACGCCUAUUCCCCGACCUGUGAAAAUGCCAAGAAAUAUAUACUAUUGCCAUGUGUGCUAGCUAACUUGGCUGAUCUGACGCUCCAUGUGCGGCAAGUUAGUUUCUGCUGUCUGGGUGAAGCUCUGUGUGUGUUCAGUCUUCAGAAUUCUGCCUCCAAUUGGUGUACACUUGUAGCUGUUUGUCCAUUGCUUGGCUCGAUUUACUCACUGCUCAACUUCUUCGUGCCUUCUGUUGAGGGCUGCUGGUCGAUUUUGGUUUCCCAAUGGAUAACAACAUUUUGAGUUGGAACAUCAGAGGGUUAAAUAACCCUGCCAGACGGAAAAUUAUGGCAAAUUUUGUUCAGAAUCAUCACUGUAGACUGGUCUGCGUUCAAGAGACCAAACUGAACCUCAUCAACAACCAAGUGAUCUCUGAAUGUCUGGGGAGCCGUUUUGUUGACAACUUUGCAUACCUCCCAGCUGAUGGUACCCGUGGUGGAAUUCUUAUAGCUGCUUCUGCUGAUCACCUGAAGAUAACAAACCUUGCGCAUCUCUCUGGCACGUACUCUUUGACUGUGAAGGUCACAGACCUCUCUUGCAAUUUUGACUGGAUGGUUACUGGGGUCUAUGGGCCACAAGCUGAUAAUGAGAAAUCCAACUUUUUGCUGGAAAUGUGACACCUCAAAACUGUUUGCUCUCCGGAAUGGCUUAUACUUGGAGACUUCAAUCUAAUCAGCAGGGCAGAAGAAAAGAACAACCAAAACAUCAACCUGAGAAUGCUCCGAAGCUUUAGAGCAGCGAUUGAUGAUCUCAACCUCAAAGAGUUACCUCUCACUGGACGACGGUUCACAUGGUCCAAUGAGAGGCUCAACUGCACUAUGACAAAGAUUGACAAGGCUCUUUUUACCGAGGAGUGGGAGGCUAAAUUCCCUGAUUUCCAAAUGCUUGCUGGGUCUACUGAAAUCUCUGACCACUGCCCCCUCAUUCUCAAAAAACUCAGUAACAAGAGAUUCCCUGGUUUCAGAUUUGAAGCUUGGUGGGCAACACAACAAGGGUUCAAAGAAACUGUUGAUCAUCUUUGGAAAAAAAACCUUCUCCUGUUCCGAUCACAUUCGCCGGCUACACAUUAAGCUCACGAGGACGGCAAAAGGCCUCAGGAAAUGGAGUAAGCAGAUUUUGAAAGAAAGCAAAUUGGCUGCAGAUAUUGCAUCCGAGGUGAUCUUCCAGCUGGAUGUUGCACAAGAAUCUCGGCCUCUGUCUGUUGAGGAACUAAAGUUGCGCGUCUUUCUCAAGUCCAGAUUACUUGCACUAGCUGCAAUUGAGAAGAUCAAGUGGCGCCAACGAUCUAGGUUGAUUUGGAUCAAAGCUGGAGAUGCAAAUACGAGGUUAUUUCACAUAAGAGCUAAUGGUCGACGAAGAAAGAAUCACAUUCCCUUCCUGCAUGUGGGUAAUAGAGUUGCAACUGAUCACAAUGACAAAGCUGGGGUUUUAUUUGAUCACUUCAACACCCUGAUGGGGCAACGCCAACCUGCUGACAAUUGCUUGAACUGGGAAUACAUCAAUAUGCCUUCCCUUGACCUAAGCCAUCUUGAUCAGCCCUUCACUCUUGAGGUUGCAGACUGCUAUACUUGAUAUCGGCGCCGAGAAGGCGCCGGGGCCUGAUGGGUUUAUCGGGACAUUCUUCAAAAAAUGUUGGCACACUGUAAAGAUUGACCUGCUCAAUGCGGUAAAUCAGAUGUCUGCUCUUGAUGGCAAGCACUGGAACCUUCUCAACACGGCAUAUAUCGUGCUUAUCCCUAAGAAAGAGAAUGCCCUAAGACCUCAGGACUAUAGGCCCAUCAGUUUAACUCAUAGCAUUGCAAAAAUUCUCGGGAAAUUACUUGCCAGCAGAGUUGCUCCAGAACUACAACACAUCAUCUCAGCUAGCCAGAGUGCUUUCUUAAGGGGAAGAAGUAUUCAAGAGAAUUUUCUUUACGUCCAAAACCUCAUACAUAAUCUACACCUUGCAAAGAAACCCACCUUAUUCCUGAAGCUAGAUAUUGCAAAAGCUUUCGAUUCGGUCAAGUGGGAUUAUCUUCUCGAUGUUUUGAAGCAUGUGGGAUUCAGCCAGAGAUUCCGAGAUCUGAUAGCUAUCUCACUUGCCUCUACCUCUUCGCGGAUCAUCCUAAAUGGUGCUCCUGGUACACCUUUUCUGCAUCGCCAAGGACUGAGACAAGGUGACCCGCUUUCGCCGUUGCUGUUCUUGCUAGCCAUCGAUCCACUACAGAGAAUUCUUGACAAAGCUACGGAGGAACAUAUUCUCAGCCCAAUCAACCAUCACACUGCAUCUGUCAGAAUCAGCCUUUACGCAGACGACGCUGCCCUGUUCAUGAAUCCUGUCAAAGCUGAAGUGUCUGCUCUUCAAACCAUCCUUGCUGCCUUUGGAAAGAUCUCUGGCCUUUGUACAAACUUCAGCAAAUCUGCAGCAUACCCAAUUGGGUGUGAAAACCAGGUUAUUGAUGAGGUUCUAGCUGACUUUGAGGGCGAAACCAGCUCCUUACCAUGCAAGUACCUUGGGCUACCUUUGAGUAUUUGCAAGCUUCAAAGGGUGGAUUUUCAAAUGCUCAUUGAUAAAGUUGCAGCAAAGCUUGCGGGCUGGAAGGGCAAAUUACUUAACAAGAAGGGGCGGCUGGCCCUUAUCAACUCUGUGUUAACCUCCUUGACAACAUACUAUCUGACCAUUUUUGCGCCAUCCAAAUGGGUUGUAAAGAGGAUUGACAAACUUCAAAGAAGCUUCUUGUGGAAAGGAGAAGAAGAGGCCAAAGGAGGCCAAUGUGCGGUCAAUUGGCAACAAGUCUGUUCCCCCAAAAAACUUGGGGGUCUUGGAGUCAAAAAUCUCAAUUUUUACAGCAGAUCCUUGAGGUUAAGAUGGGCUUGGUACUCUUGGAAAUACCCCAACAGGCCUUGGGUUGGAUCGCAACUCCCUUGCACUUGUACUGACAUGCAGCUAUUCAACACCUCCACAACUGUCAAGCUCGGCGACGGUCAAAGGGCCAAGUUUUGGAGUAGUACGUGGUUAAGUGGAACAGCUCCUAAGGACAUUUCCCCAAACCUCCACAAGCUUGCAAGGAGGAAAAAUUCUUCUGUGGCUGCUGCUCUCCACCAAGGCCGCUGGAUGAAAGGAAUCGAACGUCUUAGCACCACUGAAGACCUGCUUUCUUUUAUUGACCUUUGGCACCGGAUUCAAGGGAUUACUCUUUCGGAUCAUCCAGACGACAUUGAAUGGAAAUGGAACGACAGCAAAACGUACACUGCUGCAACUGCCUAUGAUGCCCAAUUCAUCGGAACCAUUGCGAAGCCAGAGUUAAAUGCCAUUUGGAAAGCAAAGGUGGAGGGAAAAAUCAAAUUUUUUGCUUGGCUGCUAGCUCAAAAUAGACUGCCAACUGCUGAUCGUCUCCGUGCGAGAGGAUGUGAACACAAUGACACCUGCUCCCUCUGCGAUCAAAUGAUUGAGAUUGCCGCCCACCUGAUCAGUUCCUGCCCUUUUGCAAAGGAAGUGUGGCAGAAGAUUAUUGUCAUGCUCCCUAACUGUCGGCUACAAACAACCUUGCCGUUCACCUCUACCACAUCCUGGUGGAGAAGCUUUGCCUACGGGCAGCAAAACAAGGCAGCAGCUGCGCUUUACUUCGCCUGGAACAUCUGGAAUGAGCGAAACCGAAGAAUCUUUCAAAACCUUUCUUCAACUGCUGAUAUGGUGGCUUGCUUAGUCAGGUCUGACUUAACAUACCUGGACUUGGCUUUUUCGAGGCCUCUAGCUAUGUAAUUCUGUUUUUUUUCUCUUUUUGUCUGCCCUAGGGUUUCAGACUUCUCUCUUGUAAAUUCCUAAUCUAUAAUGAAAAGGCAGAGCACAUGCCAUUAGCCCUCAAAAAACACGGUAUAUUAAUCGUUCCGUCGCCAGGGUUCGGGUAAUCAGACAACCUAUAAUUAAGAAAAUCACCGAAUUACAUAAACAAGAGAAGAAGGUGCUGCGUCUGUGCCACUUACAUUCUGAAUAGAUAGCAAAGCAUACGAGAAGGAACAAUAUUGCCUGGACGCGCAUCGUGCACUUCUCCAUGAUGCUAGGUAGACGAGUACGGUUUCAGCGAUUGUUGGCAGGCUGGUUUUGGUUGAAACUAAUGGCCGGAUGCUAGCAUAUAUAUAGCGUCAGCUUGAUGCACAUAUAUGGAGGAGCUAUUAAGUGAUAUAAAGAUUGAUUGGAUAUUGGCAUGGAUUAAUCACGCUUUAUUUCUUUCCAAAGUUAGUACAUUUGGCCCCUACGCGCGAAUGGAUUGAUUGCCCUUUAUUUCUUUCCAAAUUUAGUACCUAUUUGGCCUUGGGUAUGAAUAGGGGUGGUUAUGGACUACUUGGACUGUACCAUUUUGUUAGGACGACGAUAACUGUCACACGUGUGAGCGUUAAGGGGUCUGCGCACACGUUUUGUGUGGUGUCUAAGAGGAACAACCCACGCGCCUACGUGUGGGCAAAACAACUAGCGCCCACACACCUUUUUUCUCUCUCGCGGUCCCUCUCACACGUCUACGUGUGGGCAAAAAGGAUAACCUCUCUCAGCCACCUACCUCACGGUCCCGCACACCCCACGUGACAGUCACCACGCGUCUCCGCAGUUGCCAUGGUCUGGACCCUCUUCAAUGUCCGUUUAACUGCAGUUGCCAUGUCGCUGAACUACAGUUGCCAUGUCGGACAACUACAGUUACCACGGUUGCUCAACUGCAGUUGCCAUCUCAGCUUAAGUGUCAGAUGCCAUUUUGGACAACUGCAGUUGUUGCCAUGUAUGGUCUGGUUUACUAUAGUUGCCAUGAUUUGAAAACUUUAGGGGUUGCCACCUACUAACACUAGGCAGUUGCCAUGUAUGGUCUGGUUUACUACAGUUGCCAUGAUUUGAAAACCUUAGGAUUUGCCACCUACUAACACUAGGCAGUUGUCAUGUAGCGCUACAAAGAGACAUGGCAAAAUAAAAUGUUUCGGGUAAAGAGAGAGUUGACAUCUGCUUACAAACACACUAGGGCAGUUGCCGUGUACCCUGCAAAACACAUGGCAACUAACAUGUUCGGGUAAAAAAAAGAGUUGCCAUCUGCUUACAAGCAUACUAGGGUAGUUGCCAUGUACACUGCAAAACACAUGGCAACUGGCAGCUUUGGGUGUGGGAGAGGAGACGGGCGUGUGGGCGAGAUGGCAAAUGCCCACACACCAGCCCUUGUGCGUGAGUGGAAAGUGGCGUGUGGGCGAACUGCUGAACGCCCACUCACCGGCCCCUCCCGUGUUGUGAAACGGCCGUGUGGGCGACCGGGUGAAUGCCCACACCAGCCCAGUCCUACGUGGCACUAGAAACAUGCCAAGAUUCGUGCGCUAACAAAUGGACGCAGAUCCACGCGUGUGGGCGAGAUGCAAACGCCCACACGUGUGGGCGUUAGUGUUUCCGUUUUGUUAUUUGUAUAUUAUUAUUAUGCUGUAUCUUUUUUUUUUGCCAAAAUAUACACGGCAUAUUUUUUUUCAUGGUAAUACACGUCUCAUUCAUAUCAUAAAGAUACAAGUCAUGUAAAGACCGACAUGAUAUCCCUCCCUCCCCCCCAACCCCCGCGCGCGCGCAAAAAAAGACCGACAUGAUAAAACUGAAAAUAUAGCAUAACGUCUCUGAGCUUGACACCAACGUCCGUCGCCCGCCUCCGGCACCGCCACAACAACCACCAAAAAAAAAA